UAAAAAAUAAGACAACCUGUGUUCCUGUGCAGCUUCAUCCCUCAUCUUUCCCUAAGUGUCAAGAAGCAAUAGUUAGUCCACAAGCACGAGUGAAAUUACUGAACAAAAUUAAGAUGGAUACAGCACUCUAAAACACCCAUUUGAAUGCAUGUGAAAUCGACGACUUUCUCAAGCUCCACGACCCUCAAACUAGAACAAGACCUCUCCUCCUCCCUGACUCGCCAGCUUCCGAACCCUUGAACUACAACGACAUUGCUCCUGCCUGGAUCUGCAGCUCCACGACCCUAAAACCAGAACAAGACCUCUCCUCCACGGGUUGCCAGCUACCAGACCCUCGAAUUACAACAACAUUGCUGCUGCCUGGGUCUGCAGUUCCACGACCCUCAAACUAGAACAAGACCUCUCCUCCCCGGGUCGCCAGCUUGCAGACCCUCAAACUACGACAACAUUGCUCCUCCCUGGGUCUGCAGUUCCACGACCCUCAAACUAGAACAAGACUUCUCCUGCCCGGGUUGCCAGCUACCUGACCUUCGAACUACAACAACAUUGCUCCUCCUUGGGUCUGCAGCUCCAUGAACCUCAAACUAGAACAAGACCUCUCCUCCCUGGGUCUCCAGCUUCCUGACCCUGGAACUACAACAACAUGGCUCCUCGCUGGGUCUGCAGCUCCUCAACUCUCACCCUAGAACAGCAGCACCAGCUCCUUCCUGGACCUCCCGAUCAAUGACCCUCAGACUUCAAAGGCAGCACCAGUUCCACCCCCAGGCUCCAGCUCCAGCACCCUCAGAUCUGAACAGCAGCAGCACCAGCUCCUGUGUGGCUCUUCUGUUUCAUGAUCCUUAAAUUAGAACAGCAGCACCAUCUUCUCCCUGGGUCUCCAGCUCUACAAAACUCAAGCUAGAAUAGCAGCACCGGCUCCUCUGGGAUCUUCAGCUCCACGACCCUGCAACAUCAGUGCAGCACCGGCUCCUCCCCUGGGCUCCAGCUCCAGGACCCUCAAACUUGAACAAAAACACCAGCUCCUCCCCAGGCCUCCAGCUCCUUGACCCUCAUAAACAAUCCCUUCUUAUGAAAUGUAGCAGUCAGGAAAACUGCAGAGGAAGUAAAUAAAUAAAUGUUUUCCUUUCAAAAAAAAAGUACUUAAUUUGUUUUUAAAAGGCAAGGUCUUGCUCCAUCACCCAGGCUGGAGUGCAGAAGGAGGAUGGUUUUAAAUGAGAGAGGGAAAACAGGAAGAAAAGUAACUUUUCCUUUUUAGUCUCUAUGUGCCAGGCAUAUGUGAAAGUCAAGAUAAUAAAUGUAUUCCAUAGUGGUUGUACCAGUUUACAUUCCCAACAGCAGUGUAGAAGUGUUACCUUUUCACUGCAUUCAUGCCAACAUCUAUUUUUUUUAUUUUUUUGAUAAUGGUCAUUCUUGCAGGAGUAAGGUGGCUUUGUGCAUUUUGAGCAUUGUGGUCUUGAUUUGCAUUUGUGCAUUUUGAUCAUUUGUGCAUUUUGAGCAUUGUGGUUUUGAUUUGCAUUUCCCUGAUCAUUAGUGAUGUUGAGCAUUUUUUCAUAUGUCUGUUGGUCAUUUGUGUGUCUUCUUUUGAGAACUGUCUAUUCAUGUCCUUAGCCCACUUUUUGAUGAGUUUUUUUUCUUGCUAAUUUGAGUUCCUUGUAGAUUCUAGAUAUUAAUUCUUUGUCAGAUGUAUAGAUUGUGAAGAUUUUCUCCCACUCUGUGGGUUGUCUAUUUACUCUGCUGUUACUUUUGCUGUGCAAAAGCUCUUUAGUUUAAUUAAAUCCCUCCUAUUUAUCUUUGUUUUUGUUGCAUUUGCUUUUGGGUUCUUGGUCAUACAAUCUUUGCCUAAGCCAAUGUCUAGAAGGGUUUUUCUGAUGUUAUCUUCUAGAAUUUUUA
rnacentral:lncRNA from 10 species